GGCGUGAGCCACUGCGCCCGGCCUGAAUUCUUUAACUAGCUAUGAUUGUCUAUGUGACUCAAAUAACACUUAUAUACUGUGAUGUAAAGUUAGUGUUUUACACACAUAUGUUUAAAUCUCUAACGAGAUAAUGUAUUUCUUAUGAUCUGAAACCUAGUUUUAUAUCCUUCUUACUGCUCCCUUCCCACUGUGGUGGUUAGUACAAAUCUGGCCCCAUGUCAGGUGCUCAAAGAUUACUUGAUACGUUAUUUGACGAUUUCAGAAGAUUCCAUGAAGCUCAUCACCAGAACUCAGGCACGUGGCCACAUCUAACAGCAAGGGAGUCUGGAAAACACAGUUCAGCUGUGUGAAGGAUAUUUAUAAACAUUUAGCAAGAUCCAAAGGAAUGGACCAUAGCACAGCCCUGUUUUCUUUAGACGCUGACUCCUGCUGUCUACCAGAUCCUCGUGGUACAAUGACUGGUGUAGACUGGCUUGUUGAAGUCACUCUCUGGAUCUGAGCAACGCUGGCUGAGCCGUGAUGAAGUAUUCCUAUCCAUCCACUAUGCUUCACAGUGGGAAUCUCUCACUGUUCAUCACCGCUGCCCUAGCAGCCGCAGGGAUUCUUCACCCAUGGUUGCUUAGGUUUAUAAGCAAGGAAGCUGAAUGAAGUCCCUUUCCUCUCUGGAUGAGCCCCUGGGUUUCUGGAAGAGUCUUAAAAUCACCCCUAAAUGGCUUCCAAGCACUGAAGCCCGAGAUGUUAGCUGGCCUGUGUGAGGCCUUGAGACAGAAUGCCACAGCCACACCCCAAGGAUGCUGAAGGGGAUUUCCCUCCUCUGUGGUUUUUCUCCUUUCUUCCCGCAGCACUCCUCCUACGUGCUAACAUCUUCUAGUCAAACAACUCUCCUUUUCAAAGGGACCAGGCACAGUUUCUGCUUAUCCCUGAGUAGCAGUGUUCAGUUUCCUGCCAGCCUGUGGAGUUUUUCAAACAAGCCAAUCACCUCCUCCUGUGGGAACUGAGAAGCACCCCACCCUCUCGAUACUACAAAGCCCCUGCUUGUUCCCUAGUGCAACUCCCAUGUGGUCCUGUGGAGCAUAUGGUAUCUUCCUCUUCUGGGCAGUGAGCAUAUGUGACUAAUAAACUAUCUAUCUCAUCUGUUCAGUGCCAGGUGUCAUUUGUUCUGCCAUCCCAUGACCUAGGGUGGGGAUUCCUUCCACACCAACAGGGUGAAUGCAAGGUGAUUAAAACAAGAAGCCUCUUCAGGAUCUAUAUCCUAGGGAAAAAAUUAAACAACAACAACAAAACAAGAAGCUUCAACUCUGACCCUGUAUUCCAGAUGUGUUACAGGGGCCUGUCUCCCCAGAGCCACUCUCCAGGUCAGAGCUUACCUCCCCUUGCUCAGGGUUAGGAGCUCUGGGCAGGAAAAGGACAUCAUGUUAAAA
rnacentral:lncRNA from 1 species